GUUCUUAUGCAUUUGUGAGUGGCAUUGAUUAAAUAAGGAUUCGGCAAGCAACAAGGGGAGAUACAACAUGUUACUAUGUUACCUUUUAAAUCUUCCCCCACAGAACUGAUAGUUGUAGUUACAUUUGCUAAAAUCUGAAGCAUGUUGCCUUUUGGAAUAUGCAUCUUUUUUUUUGUUCCUAUUUUUUAUUUGUUGGAGGACAACAUGUAUGUACUCAUAUUUUUGGUUCAUCUUUUUUUUUAUGUAUUAAUCGUUUGCACGGCACAUGAUUCCUAAUAAUAAGAAAAGAGAUGUGUAUUGAUCAUGAGUUUAGUAUACUUAUUUUCAGCUAUUUAGAGGC
rnacentral:lncRNA from 1 species